AACAAGGCGUACCUGCGGACCUGCGGAAGGAUCAUUACACAACAAAAUAUGAAGGUCUGGCUUCGCGGCCGGCUGAAGUAUUUUUUUUCACCCAUGUCUUUUGCGCACUUGUUGUUUCCUGGGCGGGUUCGCCCGCCACCAGGACCAAACCAUAAACCUUUUUUUUAUGUAGUUGCAAUCAGCGUCAGUAAAAACAAUGUAAUUAUUACAACUUUUAACAAUGGAUCUCAGAUCGGAAGA
rnacentral:misc_RNA from 1 species